rnacentral:rRNA from 1 species
GACGAUCGCUGGCGGCGUGCUUAACACAUGCAAGUCGAACGGAAAGGCCCUGCUUUUGUGGGGUGCUCGAGUGGCGAACGGGUGAGUAACACGUGAGUAACCUGCCCUUGACUUUGGGAUAACUUCAGGAAACUGGGGCUAAUACCGGAUAGGAGCUCCUGCUGCAUGGUGGGGGUUGGAAAGUUUCGGCGGUUGGGGAUGGACUCGCGGCUUAUCAGCUUGUUGGUGGGGUAGUGGCUUACCAAGGCUUUGACGGGUAGCCGGCCUGAGAGGGUGACCGGCCACAUUGGGACUGAGAUACGGCCCAGACUCCUACGGGAGGCAGCAGUGGGGAAUAUUGCACAAUGGGCGGAAGCCUGAUGCAGCAACGCCGCGUGCGGGAUGACGGCCUUCGGGUUGUAAACCGCUUUCGCCUGUGACGAAGCGUGGGUGACGGUAAUGGGUAAAGAAGCACCGGCUAACUACGUG